UACAGAGGCCUCGAGCGUUAGGCGGAAUCACUGGGCUUAAAGCGUGUGUAGGCGGACUUCUAAGUACCUUGUGAAAUCCCACGGCUUACCCGUGGAACGGCUGGGUAUACUGGUCGUCUUGAGCCACUUAGGGGCUACCGGAACAAAUGGUGGAGCGGUGAAAUGCGUAGAUAUCAGGAGGAACACCUGAGGCGAAGGCGGGCUACUGGGCUGAUACUGACGCUGAUGCGCGAAAGCCAGGGAGCAAACGGG
rnacentral:rRNA from 1 species